rnacentral:lncRNA from 1 species
AUCCUUAGCAGUGCUAGUUUAGUAUAUCAUCUAUUAAAAUUCUUACGAAUUUCUACUUUUCGUUGAAUUUCCAGAAAUGUUUCGAGUGACAAUGUGGUGCUAAAGUGGUAGCACUCAACGAAAGAAUACCUGGGGGACAAUCAUCUUUGGGCCCUGAUAUCACUAAUCUUUCUAACGUACUAAUUAUAAUUCUGGAUCUUCAGGAGGAAGAUCUAAUUCUGUUAAAUCACAUUUCGAAGUAAAGUUAAUAGAAAAUUUCUAUACCCGACCUUAGGACACUUCAACCAUCAUUAGUUCCCAAAUUUACUUACAAUGCAGUAUCCUUCACUACAAUAUGUAUUUGCAUGGAAGUUUAUACUUAUAGUUAGCAGGAAUACCAUAAGUAGUAAUCAAUUUUCCUUAGAUUUAGCAGAACCAAAUCACAGGACAAGAUCCUUACCAAUCAACCGAAACUAUCCAUCGGGAUAGGCUCUAACUUGUAGUCAGCCUAUAGUGAUGCUACUUAUUAACGAUACUUUUCGGUAUCCAAGAACUAUUAACCAGUAUUCAGGUGGUAUGAUUUCUAAUACCGAACACAUAUCAGUAUCUGGGAGUGAUACCUGAAUGCCAGAAUGCAGGUUCACAGUUUUAGGUUGAUGAACAAAAUUAAAAUAUCAUUAAUGUGUCAAUUAGCGACAUGACUAAUAUACUGACUCACAUAGGCAACUUGGGCCGAAGAAAUUGACAUCGUGGAAAUUUAGGUUCAAGCCUUGUAAGAGGACAGUAAAGCUGUAGUUGUGUUAACCAUAUCACCCACCUAGGUAACCAAAACAUUCCCGACCUAGUCACGAAUACGUAUUUUGGACUCUUUCCUUAGGACUUUGGUUAAUUAGGGCACCAUUCAAUUCGUCGUAUCAUCUGUAGCUAUUCAAAUAUUUCAAUCACCUAGUACCAUAGUCGGGUACGUCUUGUGAAUCCUAAUGCCAUGAGGAAAAGUUUGUCUUAUCGUGUGCGAAUACGGUGGAUGCACCAUUCUUUUUACCAAUCUGAUGAUGCUAGUUAGUCUAUUUCGUUGGACAUCAUGAAUUUCCACGUAAUCUAAGGGAUAAAUUGACUACAUCAUAACUAUCCCUUUGGUGAAGUAUUGACUGAAAAUGGUCAUUUUCCCGACUAUUAGUCAUCCUUAUGGUCACUUUCACAAGUAAAUGUGAUAGGAGCAUAUUUAUGCGCCUUAGUUAGCUAGUUUUUAUGCAUUUUCGUUAUGUUCUUUUCGUUAAAAGUAGUCUUUUAAGCUACUUUCAUGUGUUUUCAGGUUUAAAGGACAUAUUACAUGAAAUGAUGCAAUUUGGAGCUUUUUGGAGCAAAAUUAAGCCAGAAUGUUGUGUAUGCUAAUGGAGCACGAGGAAUGGACGAGUUUGAAGGUCAAAGGAGCUUAAGAAGUGAAGAAAUAAAAGUGAAGAACAAAGAAGUUGGAAUUGGCAACCAAAGUUUCUAAAGUUGGAAGUUCCUAUUCUUGGCGGUUUCCAUUUUCGUGAGUUUCUAUUCUUGGCUUUGGGCUUUGAGAUGACCUAAACCCUAAUUCCUUGUGGAUCCUAAGCCUAUGCCGCACCCUAGGCCCCUUUCAUUUAAUUUCUGCCAUGUUAAAGCAUAAUCCAUCUCCCCUAGGGUUUGGGCCGCACCUCUCCCAUUCUAGAACACCAAUUUCCUUGCCUUGCAAGGCUUUCUAGAAGCCCUAACCCUAGCCCACUCCUUGCCGCACCCUAGGCCCUUUUUCUCACCAAAUUUCUGAUUGUUUAACUUAUUUUUCUGGUGGAUUUGGGUUUCUAGAAACCCUAAUCUGAUUUGUUAGGGUUUUUAAGUGCCUAUAUAUUUAUUUUCUACACCGAGCCGCAUGAUCUCCCUCUCCACAAAUCAGAAAAUCAUCCAAUCCUUUUUCCCACCUUGCCGCAGCCACCAUCUCCUUAAUCCCUCCUUGCCGCAACCAUCCUUUACUCCAGCCACCAUUAUACACCUCCAUACACCAUCCAUACCCCUUGCCGCACCACCAUAUCAUCCUAACUCCAUUCCUAAAACAAAACCACAUCCAAAAAUCCCUUUAACCAUCUCUGCCGCAGCAAGGAGAAGAAGAAGAGGAGCUUGACGUGCAGAAAUUCAAAGUGGAAUUCUUGGG